AUUGAACGCUGGCGGCAGGCCUAACACAUGCAAGUCGAGCGGAUGAAGGGAGCUUGCUCCUGGAUUCAGCGGCGGACGGGUGAGUAAUGCCUAGGAAUCUGCCUGGUAGUGGGGGAUAACGUCCGGAAACGGGCGCUAAUACCGCAUACGUCCUGAGGGAGAAAGUGGGGGAUCUUCGGACCUCACGCUAUCAGAUGAGCCUAGGUCGGAUUAGCUAGUUGGUGGGGUAAAGGCCUACCAAGGCGACGAUCCGUAACUGGUCUGAGAGGAUGAUCAGUCACACUGGAACUGAGACACGGUCAGACUCCUACGGGAGGCAGCAGUGGGGAAUAUUGGACAAUGGGCGAAAGCCUGAUCCAGCCAUGCCGCGUGUGUGAAGAAGGUCUUCGGAUUGUAAAGCACUUUAAGUUGGGAGGAAGGGCAGUAAGUUAAUACCUUGCUGUUUUGACGCUACCAACAGAAUAAGCACCGGCUAACUUCGUG
rnacentral:rRNA from 1 species